CGGACGGGUGAGUAAUGUCUGGGAAACUGCCCGAUGGAGGGGGAUAACUACUGGAAACGGUAGCUAAUACCGCAUAACGUCGCAAGACCAAAGAGGGGGACCUUAGGGCCUCUUGCCAUCGGAUGUGCCCAGAUGGGAUUAGCUAGUAGGUGGGGUAAUGGCUUACCUAGGCGACGAUCCCUAGCUGGUCUGAGAGGAUGAUCAGCCACACUGGGACUGAGACACGGCCCAG
rnacentral:rRNA from 1 species